rnacentral:pre_miRNA from 1 species
GUCCUUUGCUGCCAUCUUUGUCUAUCUGUAGUUGCCUACAUAUGGUUAUUGAUAGCUCAGUGGCAACAAUCAUAGAUAGUUAAAGAUGGUAACAAAGGAUAA